AGAGUUUGAUCCUGGCUCAGAACGAACGCUGGCGGCGUGCCUAACACAUGCAAGUCGAACGGGUACAUGUUCGGCACCGUGCAUAUUUGCCUUUUAAGGGUGGAGUAUGCAGGGUGCCGGACAUGUGCUAGUGGCGCACGGGUGAGUAACACGUAGGCAACCUACCUCAGGGCGGGGGAUAACAUUCGGAAACGGGUGCUAAUACCGCGUAAGCCCACGGAUUGGGAUAUCUGUGGGAAAAGGAGCAAUCCACCUUGAGAUGGGCCUGCGGCCUAUCAGGUAGUUGGCGGGGUAACGGCCCACCAAGCCUAAGACGGGUAGCCGGUCUGAGAGGAUGAACGGCCACACUGGAACUGAGACACGGUCCAGACUCCUACGGGAGGCAGCAGUGGGGAAUUUUGCGCAAUGGGGGAAACCCUGACGCAGCGACGCCGCGUGGAGGACGAAGGCCUUCGGGUUGUAAACUCCUUUUGCCAAGGAAAAUGAUGAUGGUACUUGGCGAAUAAGCCACGGCUAACUCUGUGCCAGCAGCCGCGGUAAGACAGAGGUGGCAAGCGUUGUUCGGAAUCACUGGGCUUAAAGGGCGCGUAGGCGGCAGGGUAAGUCUAAUGUGGAAUCUUGGGGCUCAACCCCAAAACUGCAUUGGAAACUGCUUUGCUUGAGUCAGUAAGGGGAGGGCGGAAUUCCUGGUGUAGCAGUGAAAUGCGUAGAUAUCAGGAGGAAGGCCGGUGGCGAAGGCGGCCCUCUAGUGCUUGACUGACGCUGAGGCGCGAAAGCGUGGGUAGCAAACAGGAUUAGAUACCCUGGUAGUCC
rnacentral:rRNA from 1 species